ACUGUGAAAAAUCAUAUGUCAUGCAACAUACAAUUCAUAGUCAUUACAAAAAUUACACCGUAUAUAUAACGUACAGAGGAAUAAAUUUGUUGUUUAUUACAAAGCUAUUCGUUAAAAUAACAAAUUUGUCGCGAAGCAAAAUACACAAAUAGGGAAAAGCUUCUUCUAAAGGUUUGCUACACCAACGUUCGCAUAAAUUUAAUGGUGAUCGGAAGGAAAUCAGAUAUCUUGCUUAUCAUUCAACAGUGAUAGCCCACGGCAACGUACGAUAAUAUUAAAGAGACGCAAGGAGUGAAUUUUUACAGAAAUGCCCAUCGACAUCCCCGCUUUCGCCUAUGCUGUUACAGUAGCUGGUGGUGGAAUAUUAGGUUACGUGAAAUCAAAUUCUAUUCCGUCAUUGGCAGCUGGGCUCUUCUUCGGAUCUGUUCUGGGCUACGGGGCUUAUCAGACUUCCCAAGAUCCGACCAAUGUAGCAGUUUUUCUAGGAACUAGUACAGCCCUCGGAGGCUUGAUGGGAUAUCGAUUUUACAAUAGUGGAAAAAUAAUGCCAGCUGGAGUAAUCGCUAUGUUAAGUGCUGCGAUGAUUGUAAGGACAGUCAUGAGAUAUUUCUCCCAACCGAUAAAGACUCAGUGAAUAUUAACUUUUAAGUGUUAGAGAUAUUGCAUUUAAUAAUUUACUAUUCUUUGGUAAAAGGGUAAUUCUAUUUAGCAAAAGAAUAUGAUUUGGGAGAUUUAAUAAGAGAUAAUUUUGGAUAAAUGAAACUAACACUUACCAAUUUUGAAUCCUGAAUGUUUGACAGCUAUGGGAUGACUUGACGAUUAAUAAAAUAUAACAUCCUUC